CCUACGGGCGGCAGCAGUGAGGAAUAUUGGUCAAUGGACGAGAGUCUGAACCAGCCAAGUAGCGUGAAGGAUGACUGCCCUAUGGGUUGUAAACUUCUUUUAUAUGGGAAUAAAAUGUUCCACGUGUGGGAUUUUGUAUGUACCAUAUGAAUAAGGAUCGGCUAACUCCGUGCCAGCAGCCGCGGUAAUACGGAGGAUCCGAGCGUUAUCCGGAUUUAUUGGGUUUAAAGGGAGCGUAGGUGGAUUGUUAAGUCAGUUGUGAAAGUUUGCGGCUCAACCGUAAAAUUGCAGUUGAAACUGGCAGUCUUGAGUGCAGUAGAGGUGGGCGGAAUUCGUGGUGUAGCGGUGAAAUGCUUAGAUAUCACGAAGAACUCCGAUUGCGAAGGCAGUUCACUGGACUGCAACUGACACUGAGGCUCGAAAGUGUGGGUAUCAAACAGGAUUAGAUACCCGGGUAGUC
rnacentral:rRNA from 1 species